CGCCCGCCGCCGCCCGCACGCGCCGGUGCCCGUGCCCGUCGCUGGAGCGCGCGCGGCGACCACGCCCCGCCCCUUCCUACAUCGGCGUAACCGGCCGCCGUGGUUUCUUCUCCUUCCGACGACAAGCAGUACGGCCGGCACUAUGUAAGGGGGAGGGGGGAAUUUCAGUUCAAGGGAGACAAUUUGGUGUCGUUUCUCAUCGGCGUGCUGCUGCAGCAUCUUCUAGUCUAGUAAAUGCUCGCAUCCUGUUCGUUGAUCCAUCAACAAGAGCAUCCUGUAAAGUCAGCUUCUGUAGAAACUAGAAGUGCUAUUAUUUUAUUGAGUAUUCUUUCAUUUCAGGUGGACGAGAUAUUGUUCAAGCUAUUAAAGAUGCAGACCUUUUUGUGAUAAAAUUUGGCAAGCUUUUGCUGUGUUCUUGCCAGUACAAACAAUUGGGAUUCAGGGUGAUCAAGGAACCCACUCCCAUGCUGUUGUUUUAAGGCAAUCAGCAGUGAGGAUGUUAUGAACGCAGAUUGGUACUCACCCAGGAUCAAGGAGAUCACGGUAAUCAGUCACAGGAAAGUGAGGAGAGCAAAGUUGUACUACCUGAAAGAUAAGCUUCCCCGCUUUUCAACCUUCAAGUGAAAUAAGAUAUGAUGACAGAACAGCUUCUUCCACCACCAUUUCGAUUUCUCGUAGCGAACCUUUUUUCACUUCCGCUGUAGGGUUGUAUGUCGAAUUGUAGUAGGGAUGUAUCUUGAACUUGCAUUAGGGAUGGAUGUUGGACUCUGUGAUGUUGAACUUCUAAUAGUAAACCUAUGAUGUUGAACUUUGAUGGAUUUUUGUUGGAUUUAUGAAAUCUGUGUGUGCUUGUGAUAUA